rnacentral:rRNA from 1 species
GACGAACGCUGGCGGCGUGCUUAACACAUGCAAGUCGAACGGUGAUGCGGAGCUUGCUCCGUUGAUCAGUGGCGAACGGGUGAGUAACACGUGAGCAACCUGCCCCUGACUCUGGGAUAACCCCGGGAAACCGGAGCUAAUACCGGAUAUGAGGCCUGAAGGCAUCUUCGGGUUUGGAAAGAAUUUCGGUCAGGGAUGGGCUCGCGGCCUAUCAGCUUGUUGGUGGGGUAAUGGCCUACCAAGGCGACGACGGGUAGCCGGCCUGAGAGGGCGACCGGCCACACUGGGACUGAGACACGGCCCAGACUCCUACGGGAGGCAGCAGUGGGGAAUAUUGCACAAUGGGGGAAACCCUGAUGCAGCGACGCCGCGUGAGGGAUGACGGCCUUCGGGUUGUAAACCUCUUUCAGUAGGGAAGAAGCCUCCUUUGGGGGGUGACGGUACCUGCAGAAGAAGUACCGGCUAACUACGUGCCAGCAGCCGCAGUAACAC